CUUAAUAUUUCUGCACCUGUAGUAGGUCGGUUAAUAGAAAACUUCAACUCCACAUCAGAUAACAUAGUAUGAUUUGCACUACAUGACGAUGCCUUACUUGUUAUUUAAUAUGUAUGAAUUCGAUGAAUUGUAAGCAUCUAAAAGCUCAAGAAAAGUUCUUUUUAAAACAUUUCAACAUUAUUUGUAAAACUAUGCACGAGUUUUGAAUAUACACAUUGCGGCCAGGAGUCCAAGAACGCCAUGAUGUGUCUCUCGAGACGUAAACAAAAACGUGAAAUGUACCAAAAGGAAACCCUCAGUUCCGGUGAGAUGAAUGCUCACUUAAAUAAACCUCUUUGGUAACCAAACUUUUAACAACGCUCUUAUUUCAACAGAUGUAUAUUAUCAUUAAAAUAAGGAACAUGUUUGAUUAUUUACUCCAGUUUCCUAUGCAUCUGAACAAUACAUUUAGAAUCGAUCUAAAAACACUAUGAAAUAAUCAUCCAUAAAGAUAAAUCAGCAAGCCUUCGCAUGGUACCAAAACCUAAAAACACUGAAACCCGGAUAUAAACGGAGAAAAAUAUUUAAUUUCCGGGAGGGAACUACUUCGGGCCUAUUAUUUCCGUUCUUCUAACUUCUCUAUUGUAAUUCAUACAAUAAGUAGAUAUGAAAGUAUAAAUAUCUUAAAAAAUUAAAACAAAAUCUAAUUCAGUUACCCUUUACAUGGAAGAGCAAAUCAAUAAUCACAACAUGGUUUUACGAUGUAAAUAUAUGGUAAUACCGUCUAGUUUGUUGAGAUGUGACGUGAUUAACAACAAUGGAAAAUGUGACAAUUUGCAUAACAGCUAAGCCUAAAAGUACCUACACUGAAAAUAAAAACCAUUCUUGCACAGCCAGAUAAAUAAACUACAUGCACCAUG